rnacentral:rRNA from 1 species
CGCUGGCGGCGUGCCUAAUACAUGCAAGUCGAACGGUCUUUCUAUGGAAGCUUGCUCCACUGAGAAGAUAGUGGCGAACGGGUGAGUAACACGUGGGUAACCUGCCCAUAAGAGGGGGGAUAACAUCCGGAAACGGGUGCUAAUACCGCAUAGUUUUCUUGAUUGCAUGAUUGAGAAAGGAAAGACGGCCUUUGUGCUGUCGCUUAUGGAUGGACCCGCGGCGUAUUAGUUAGUUGGUGAGGUAACGGCUCACCAAGACGAUGAUACGUAGCCGACCUGAGAGGGUGAUCGGCCACAUUGGGACUGAGACACGGCCCAAACUCCUACGGGAGGCAGCAGUAGGGAAUCUUCCGCAAUGGACGAAAGUCUGACGGAGCAACGCCGCGUGAGUGAAAGAAGGUUUUCGGAUCGUAAAACUCUGUUGUCAGAGAAGAACAAGUUGGAGAGUAACUGCUCCAGCCUUGACGGUAUCUGACCAGAAAGCCACGGCUAACUACGUGCCAGCCGCCGC